rnacentral:rRNA from 1 species
AUUGAACGCUGGCGGCAGGCUUAACACAUGCAAGUCGAGCGGUAACAGAGAGAAGCUUGCUUCUCUGCUGACGAGCGGCGGACGGGUGAGUAAUGCCUAGGAAUCUGCCUAGUAGUGGGGGAUAACUUGCCGAAAGGUAAGCUAAUACCGCAUACGUCCUACGGGAGAAAGGAGGGGACCUUCGGGCCUUUCGCUAUUAGAUGAGCCUAGGUCGGAUUAGUUAGUUGGUGAGGUAAUGGCUCACCAAGACCGCGAUCCGUAACUGGUCUGAGAAGAUGAUCAGUCACACUGGAACUGAGACACGGUCCAGACUCCUACGGGAGGCAGCAGUGGGGAAUAUUGGACAAUGGGGGAACCCUGAUCCAGCCAUGCCGCGUGUGUGAAGAAGGUCUUAGGAUUGUAAAGCACUUUAAGUUGGGAGGAAGAGCAGUUAACUAAUAUUUGACUGUUUUGACGUUACCGACAGAAUAAGCACCGGCUAACUUCGUGCCAGCCGCCGCAGUAA